rnacentral:SRP_RNA from 1 species
GCCAGGCAUGGUGGCGUGUGCCUGUAAUCCCAGCUACUCAGGAGGCUGAGGCAGGAGAAUCGCUUGAACCUAGGAGGCAGAGGUUGCAGUGAGCCAAGAUCGUGCCACUGCACUCCAGCCUAGGUGACAGAGCGAGACUCCAUCUCAA